GAUUAAGAGCUUGCUCUUAUGAAGUUAGCGGCGGACGGGUGAGUAACACGUGGGUAACCUGCCCAUAAGACUGGGAUAACUCCGGGAAACCGGGGCUAAUACCGGAUAACAUUUUGAACCGCAUGGUUCGAAAUUGAAAGGCGGCUUCGGCUGUCACUUAUGGAUGGACCCGCGUCGCAUUAGCUAGUUGGUGAGGUAACGGCUCACCAAGGCAACGAUGCGUAGCCGACCUGAGAGGGUGAUCGGCCACACUGGGACUGAGACACGGCCCAGACUCCUACGGGAGGCAGCAGUAGGGAAUCUUCCGCAAUGGACGAAAGUCUGACGGAGCAACGCCGCGUGAGUGAUGAAGGCUUUCGGGUCGUAAAACUCUGUUGUUAGGGAAGAACAAGUGCUAGUUGAAUAAGCUGGCACCUUGACGGUACCUAACCAGAAAGCCACGGCUAACUACGUGCCAGCAGCCGCGGUAAUACGUAGGUGGCAAGCGUUAUCCGGAAUUAUUGGGCGUAAAGCGCGCGCAGGUGGUUUCUUAAGUCUGAUGUGAAAGCCCACGGCUCAACCGUGGAGGGUCAUUGGAAACUGGGAGACUUGAGUGCAGAAGAGGAAAGUGGAAUUCCAUGUGUAGCGGUGAAAUGCGUAGAGAUAUGGAGGAACACCAGUGGCGAAGGCGACUUUCUGGUCUGUAACUGACACUGAGGCGCGAAAGCGGGGGGAGCAAACAGGAUUAGAUACCCUGGUAGUCCACGCCGUAAACGAUGAGUGCUAAGUGUUAGAGGGUUUCCGCCCUUUAGUGCUGAAGUUAACGCAUUAAGCACUCCGCCUGGGGGAGUACGGGCCGCAAGGCUGAAACUCA
rnacentral:rRNA from 1 species